rnacentral:misc_RNA from 1 species
GAUGAAGAACGUAGCGAAAUGCGAUAAGUAAUGUGAAUUGCAGAAUUCAGUGAAUCAUCGAAUCUUUGAACGCACAUUGCGCCCGCCAGUAUUCUGGCGGGCAUGCCUGUUCGAGCGUCAUUUCAACCAUCAAGCCCACGGGCUUGUGUUGGGGACCUGCGGCUGCCGCAGGCCCUGAAAAGCAGUGGCGGGCUCGCUGUCACACCGAGCGUAGUAGAUUUUAUCUCGCUCUGGGCGUGCUGCGGGUUCCGGCCGUUAAACCACCCUUUUAACCCAAGGUUGACCUCGGAUCAGGUAGGAAGACCCGCUGAACUUAAGCAUAUCAAUAAGCGGAGGA